UUUUCUCUGAUGAAAUGACCUAAAUCAAGCAGAUUGUAUGUUAAAUGUAUAGAACUCAUAUAACCGAACUGCAACAGUCAAAAAAUUGAGAUUGAGUUUGUCGUUGCUUCUUUAAUUAGCAUACACUAGCUGAAUCUACUUGUUUUUUUAUAGGGAGUGAGUGGGCUGUGAGAACAAGCAAAGACAGAGAUUUGAGGAAUAUAUCCAUAAUUCCUCACCUUAACCUUAUUCACAGAAUUCGUAAUUUGCAGUUAAAUUAAUAAUCUAGAGAGAAUUAAUACCUUAACAGCUCAUGGCCAACCCAUUUGAAAUCCCUAGCCUAUCAUUCAAGGAGCAAUGUCUUUGACCAACCUCAACCAAAGUCUAACUUUGUUAACUUUUCCUGCAAAAUCAACAGCAGAAUUAGUAAAUACACAAACAUAUACACAUACUAUCAAGUUGAAAUUUCAACUAUUUUACUAGGAGACUUUAUUUCCAACAUGAUCAUCAGCAGCAACAACACCAGGAUAAUCAGAAGACAAAUCCAUCACAAGCAAUGAAUAAUCUUGAAUCCCCUUAUUAUUGAAUAAUCAUGGUAUGCCCCCGAAAAAAAUUAGAAGUUCA
rnacentral:lncRNA from 1 species